GCUACACAUGCAGUCGAACGAUGAAGCCGGAGCUUGCUCUGGUGGAUUAGUGGCGAACGGGUGAGUAACACGUGAGUAACCUGCCCUUGACUCUGGAAUAAGCGUUGGAAACGACGUCUAAUACCGGAUACGAGCUUCCGCCGCAUGGUGAGGAGCUGGAAAGAAUUUCGGUCAAGGAUGGACUCGCGGCCUAUCAGGUAGUUGGUGAGGUAAUGGCUCACCAAGCCUACGACGGGUAGCCGGCCUGAGAGGGUGACCGGCCACACUGGAACUGAGACACGGUCCAGACUCCUACGGGAGGCAGCAGUGGGGAAUAUUGCACAAUGGGCGCAAGCCUGAUGCAGCAACGCCGCGUGAGGGACGACGGCCUUCGGGUUGUAAACCUCUUUUAGUAGGGAAGAAGCGAAAGUGACGGUACCUGCAGAAAAAGCACCGGCUAACUACGUGCCAGCAGCCGCGGUAAUACGUAGGGUGCAAGCGUUAUCCGGAAUUAUUGGGCGUAAAGAGCUCGUAGGCGGUUUGUCGCGUCUGCUGUGAAACUG
rnacentral:rRNA from 1 species